rnacentral:rRNA from 1 species
CCCUUAGAUGUUCUGGGCCGCACACGCGCUACACUGAAGGAGGCAGCGUGUACUCCUGGAUCGAAAGAUUUGGGUAACCCGCGAAUCUCCUUCGUGCUAGGGAUUGAGGUUUGCAAUUAUCCUUCAUGAACGAGGAAUUCCCAGUAAGUGCAAGUCAUAAGCUUGCGCUGACUACGUCCCUGCCCUUUGUACACACCGCCCGUCGCUACUACCGAUUGAAUGAUUUAGUGAGGACUUCGGACUGGGACCGAUGCGGCUUUCGGGCUGCGUCUGUAUUCUGGAAAGAUGUCCAAACUGUAUCAUUUAGAGGAAGUAAAAGUCGUAACA